rnacentral:rRNA from 1 species
UUAAGCGACUAAGCGUACACGGUGGAUGCCCUGGCAGUCAGAGGCGAUGAAGGACGUGCUAAUCUGCGAUAAGCGUCGGUAAGGUGAUAUGAACCGUUAUAACCGGCGAUUUCCGAAUGGGGAAACCCAGUGUGUUUCGACACACUAUCAUUAACUGAAUCCAUAGGUUAAUGAGGCGAACCGGGGGAACUGAAACAUCUAAGUACCCCGAGGAAAAGAAAUCAACCGAGAUUCCCCCAGUAGCGGCGAGCGAACGGGGAGCAGCCCAGAGCCUGAAUCAGUGUGUGUGUUAGUGGAAGCGUCUGGAAAGGCGUGCGAUACAGGGUGACAGCCCCGUACACAAAAAUGCACAUGCUGUGAGCUCGAUGAGUAGGGCGGGACACGUGGUAUCCUGUCUGAAUAUGGGGGGACCAUCCUCCAAGGCUAAAUACUCCUGACUGACCGAUAGUGAACCAGUACCGUGAGGGAAAGGCGAAAAGAACCCCGGCGAGGGGAGUGAAAAAGAACCUGAAACCGUGUACGUACAAGCAGUGGGAGCACGCUUAGGCGUGUGACUGCGUACCUUUUGUAUAAUGGGUCAGCGACUUAUAUUCUGUAGCAAGGUUAACCGAAUAGGGGAGCCGAAGGGAAACCGAGUCUUAACUGGGCGUUAAGUUGCAGGGUAUAGACCCGAAACCCGGUGAUCUAGCCAUGGGCAGGUUGAAGGUUGGGUAACACUAACUGGAGGACCGAACCGACUAAUGUUGAAAAAUUAGCGGAUGACUUGUGGCUGGGGGUGAAAGGCCAAUCAAACCGGGAGAUAGCUGGUUCUCCCCGAAAGCUAUUUAGGUAGCGCCUCGUGAAUUCAUCUCCGGGGGUAGAGCACUGUUUCGGCAAGGGGGUCAUCCCGACUUACCAACCCGAUGCAAACUGCGAAUACCGGAGAAUGUUAUCACGGGAGACACACGGCGGGUGCUAACGUCCGUCGUGAAGAGGGAAACAACCCAGACCGCCAGCUAAGGUCCCAAAGUCAUGGUUAAGUGGGAAACGAUGUGGGAAGGCCCAGACAGCCAGGAUGUUGGCUUAGAAGCAGCCAUCAUUUAAAGAAAGCGUAAUAGCUCACUGGUCGAGUCGGCCUGCGCGGAAGAUGUAACGGGGCUAAACCAUGCACCGAAGCUGCGGCAGCGACACUAUGUGUUGUUGGGUAGGGGAGCGUUCUGUAAGCCUGUGAAGGUGUGCUGUGAGGCAUGCUGGAGGUAUCAGAAGUGCGAAUGCUGACAUAAGUAACGAUAAAGCGGGUGAAAAGCCCGCUCGCCGGAAGACCAAGGGUUCCUGUCCAACGUUAAUCGGGGCAGGGUGAGUCGACCCCUAAGGCGAGGCCGAAAGGCGUAGUCGAUGGGAAACAGGUUAAUAUUCCUGUACUUGGUGUUACUGCGAAGGGGGGGACGGAGAAGGCUAUGUUGGCCGGGCGACGGUUGUCCCGGUUUAAGCGUGUAGGCUGGUUUUCCAGGCAAAUCCGGAAAAUCAAGGCUGAGGCGUGAUGACGAGGCACUACGGUGCUGAAGCAACAAAUGCCCUGCUUCCAGGAAAAGCCUCUAAGCAUCAGGUAACAUCAAAUCGUACCCCAAACCGACACAGGUGGUCAGGUAGAGAAUACCAAGGCGCUUGAGAGAACUCGGGUGAAGGAACUAGGCAAAAUGGUGCCGUAACUUCGGGAGAAGGCACGCUGAUAUGUAGGUGAAGCGACUUGCUCGUGGAGCUGAAAUCAGUCGAAGAUACCAGCUGGCUGCAACUGUUUAUUAAAAACACAGCACUGUGCAAACACGAAAGUGGACGUAUACGGUGUGACGCCUGCCCGGUGCCGGAAGGUUAAUUGAUGGGGUUAGCCGCAAGGCGAAGCUCUUGAUCGAAGCCCCGGUAAACGGCGGCCGUAACUAUAACGGUCCUAAGGUAGCGAAAUUCCUUGUCGGGUAAGUUCCGACCUGCACGAAUGGCGUAAUGAUGGCCAGGCUGUCUCCACCCGAGACUCAGUGAAAUUGAACUCGCUGUGAAGAUGCAGUGUACCCGCGGCAAGACGGAAAGACCCCGUGAACCUUUACUAUAGCUUGACACUGAACAUUGAGCCUUGAUGUGUAGGAUAGGUGGGAGGCUUUGAAGUGUGGACGCCAGUCUGCAUGGAGCCGACCUUGAAAUACCACCCUUUAAUGUUUGAUGUUCUAACGUUGACCCGUAAUCCGGGUUGCGGACAGUGUCUGGUGGGUAGUUUGACUGGGGCGGUCUCCUCCUAAAGAGUAACGGAGGAGCACGAAGGUUGGCUAAUCCUGGUCGGACAUCAGGAGGUUAGUGCAAUGGCAUAAGCCAGCUUGACUGCGAGCGUGACGGCGCGAGCAGGUGCGAAAGCAGGUCAUAGUGAUCCGGUGGUUCUGAAUGGAAGGGCCAUCGCUCAACGGAUAAAAGGUACUCCGGGGAUAACAGGCUGAUACCGCCCAAGAGUUCAUAUCGACGGCGGUGUUUGGCACCUCGAUGUCGGCUCAUCACAUCCUGGGGCUGAAGUAGGUCCCAAGGGUAUGGCUGUUCGCCAUUUAAAGUGGUACGCGAGCUGGGUUUAGAACGUCGUGAGACAGUUCGGUCCCUAUCUGCCGUGGGCGCUGGAGAACUGAGGGGGGCUGCUCCUAGUACGAGAGGACCGGAGUGGACGCAUCACUGGUGUUCGGGUUGUCAUGCCAAUGGCACUGCCCGGUAGCUAAAUGCGGAAGAGAUAAGUGCUGAAAGCAUCUAAGCACGAAACUUGCCCCGAGAUGAGUUCUCCCUGACUCCUUGAGAGUCCUGAAGGAACGUUGAAGACGACGACGUUGAUAGGCCGGGUGUGUAAGCGCAGCGAUGCGUUGAGCUAACCGGUACUAAUGAACCGUGAGGCUUAACCUU